GGGGUGCUUACACCACACAGACCAGUAACCUUGCUUAUUCCUCUUAAGCAUAAAGUAUAGAUUAAGAUCUGGAUUGAAAGAGAACAGAAAAUCUCACUCAAGACAAGAGCUAACAACAUGCUGAUUCUAAGCCUGCUGGGAGCAGCCUUCAGCUCCAUUUGUUUUGCAACCAGCAUGGCCCAGAAGGUAAAGCAGACUCAGACUUCAAUUUCUGUGAUGGAGAAGAAGACAGUAACAAUGGACUGUGUGUAUGAAACCCGGGAUAGUUCUUACUUCUUAUUCUGGUACAAGCAAAGAGCAAGUGGGGAAAUGGUUUUCCUUAUUCGUCAGGACUCUUACAAUAAGGAAAAUGCAACAGAGGGGCGUUAUUCUCUGAACUUCCAGAAGUCAGAAAGUUCCAUCGGACUCACCAUCACAGCCACACAGAUUGAGGACUCAGCAGUAUAUUUCUGUGCUAUGAGAGAGGGCACAGUGGCAGAGGCAUCUACAAGAGCCCCACAAAAACCUCAACCAGAAAUGGAGGUUCCACAGACAGGAAGGGGUAGGGCCUGUGUUAGCACAGGAGUCUGGCAAUAAACCUUAGUACAAUUCAUGUGGGAUGUCCAUUUUAAAUCAGUUACCUGAGGCAUACAUGUUCAGGAGCAGCACAGGUCUGCACUAAGUCCUCUGCAUAUAUAUCAUGGCUUCCAGUUGAGUGUUUUUGUGGGAUUCCUGACUGUUCAAAUAAGUGGCUCUCUGAUUCUUGUGCCUUCUCUUGAGCUCUUUUCCUUCUCUUGGUUUAUCUUUUUCAAC